rnacentral:rRNA from 1 species
GAUUUCUGGUAUGAUGUACCUGUCCCGCUGCGGUAACGUCAGUGUGUGACGGUGUAUGUCUGCCAUCCUUCUAGAGAAUGCAAGCUACCCUUCACUGGGCCGGUUUGUGUGAUCUAGAUCUUUUACUUUGAACAAAUUAGAGUGUUUCAAGCAGGCGUUUUGCUAUGAAUACAUUAGCAUGGAAUAAUAAGCUAGGACUUCGGUUCUAUUUUGUUGGUUUCUAGGACUGAAGUAAUGAUUGAUAGGGACAGUUGGGGGUGCUAGUAUUCAGCGGCCAGAGGUGAAAUUCUUGGAUUCGCUGAAGACUAACUUAUGCGAAAGCAUU